GUGAAAUCGAGAUCGUCGCCAUUGAAUGUCUCGUAUCAGAUCGCGGCGGUGAUUCCCGGCUCUGCAAUUUCACCUCGUUGAUGAGUUGGCGGAUUGAAGCAUAAAUUUAUAUUCUAUUGUAAGUUCCUACUUUCAACAGAUGGCUUCAGUGGGGGUUGCACCCUCAAGGUCGUCGACUGGCCUUAAGAACACCAGUGGCAACAAUGUUGUCGCAGAUAGGUUGCCAGAUGAAAUGAAUGAUUUGAACAUAAGAGAUGAUAAGGAAGUCGAAGCCACAGUGAUUAAUGGAAAUGGAACAGAGACGGGUCAUAUUAUCGUCAUGACUAUUGGUGGUAGAAAU
rnacentral:misc_RNA from 1 species